AAAAGCAUGAGAAAGAAAGAAGAAGAGGCAGCAAAGCAGCCUGCGUUCUUCCUUUGAUUUCCAGCUCGUUCACCGUUGGAUCGGGCUAAGAUUGUGAC